rnacentral:lncRNA from 1 species
GGAAGUUUGGAAAUGUAGUGCGUCCUUAUAAACACUUCAAAUGGUGAAUGACGCAUGGAAGCUUCUAUAAACUGGAAGCCUUUCGUUGAGAAACAACCUUUCUUACAAAUAAACAUGUUUAUUUUUGCGGUCAGGCCCGCGUGGCGAAAAGAAAUUGAUGAUGUGGCGCCGGUCGCUCAGGGAUGGAGAUCUUUUCCUUGUCGCCCCGCCCCAUAGCGCUUGGCUCUAUCACUCCCCAGCCGCCAGCCAAAGCUUCCACGGCACUGAAACCAUGGAUGAUCCCUUGAAUCAUCCUCACACUUCCAUUUUAUCCAAGAACGCAGCCAAGGCUUUGCUCAAGCACCAUUGAGCAAGAUCGAUGCCCUUGGGGAGGGAAAAUUGCCCUUUCGCGGCAAGCUCUCCAAGAGCUCCCAAAGAACAUGUUUUCAUACUUGAAAUUUCUUUUGGCUCAGCCACGCUGUCUCGCCACAAUCCUUUGGCCAAGAGGGCCUCCACGUUGCAAAUCAGAACGAGUUUUAACUGGCUACCCCUCAUCCAAACAUGAUCGUGCCCUAGAUGCUGGAAAGAUGCUUUUGAACCUCUUUGCACUAGUGAACCAUCUUGCAUCGUAGAUUAUCACAUUAAACUUCAAACUCCCAAAUUAUAUCUUAAAUCUAUAUUGAAAGUAGCCUUUAGUGAUUUUACUGUGGUUAGCACUGUCCAAUUUUACUGUGACACUUUAGUUAAUUGAGGAACAUUAAUUUAGAGACUGAUUUUAGGUUUAGAAUUUGUACAUUUCACAAUUUUCUAAUCCACAAUAUUCAAUGGGCCAACUUCUGUGAAUUUUGUGAUUUAUGAGCUGUGAGACUCUUAAAUUAGAGAAUUCGUAAGAAUUCUUUUAAGACGUUCGUCCCUAGACAAAUUUCAUGCAUGAGCACACCUACUUUUAUAUGUUGUAUUUACUUUUAAUUGGGAGACUUGAGUAAUUUUAGUUGAAUUUAAAAUCAUACUCUGGCAUAAUUUUAAUUGCGUAGCAAAACCAAGUCUCAAUAAAAGAAGAAGAGAGAAAUGAAAGUUUCCAAUCCAACCUUCUUAACAUGGGAGCCCAUGAUCACAGCUUCCCUCAAAUCGUUACCGCCAUCACCGUUAGCCACAGCAGCCGCCUUGCCAAAGCUCCAGAAAGAUCUCCAUGGACGAAUCCCCGAAACUCUUCGUCCAUCUCUCGCAAAGCCUCCCUCGGCCGUUGAUUGGCAUUGCCAUUUUGAGGCUCUUCGUCCAGAUGGUCUUCACGAGUUUCUGUGAGUGACGAGCACUCGUCUAGUUGCUGUACCCCUUGAUACCUUGAAUCCCUGGCACUGCCGUUGGACGCCCGGUCCGGCAUGCCUGGCGAUUGUGAGACAGUGAAUCCCAUGAGCGAAGUAGUGGAUCGCCUGGACCAUCCGGAUGCUGGUCUUCCAUGUCAUCUUCUGCUUCUAAGCCAGCUGAUUUGCCUUCUCGUUGUUGUUUGCCUGUGUUACUCCAAGUUCUCUCCCAUUUCUUCACUUUCUUCUUCUUCAGCAUCUAAGUUCGCCUUCCUAAUAACUCAUCUGGUGGUGCGCUUUCAGUGCUCACCGGUUGCAUAUCAGCUUCUUCUCCUUCUUCUGUGCUGGAACUUUGCUCCAAGCAUGCAUCUUGCUUUAGCUCGCCAGCCUUUGCUUCUUGUUCUUCCAAACCGAGAAGCUCUGGGCUCAAAAACUCCAGCAUUCCGGUGUUAUUCGGCUCCACCUCCAUGACAAUCUCUGCGGGGCAGCGAAAUUCGGAUAGACUCACAAUGCCAUGCAGUUGAUAGAUAGAUAUGGAUAUGACGAUCUUUGAGGAGCCCGCAGGAAAAAAAGUGGGAGAGAAGAAGAUCUAGUGCGAUGAGCUCCUUCCAUGUCUCCAGAAACAAAUUUGUUGCACUUAGUUUAUAUUAAUUCAAUUUUUAAUUAUUAUGAAAUCUUUUUUAAAUGUUUAGGAAGGAAAUUAUAAUAAUUUGCUACGUGUUAUUGGUUUGCUUAAGCAAACCUAUAGGGAUGGUCGUGAAUAUACCUAGAAUAUUCUUGGAUAUUCUAGGAUAUUUUACCAUCUAAUGGUUGUUAUUCAUUUAGAUUAAUCUUGUAUUUAUAAUUUAUAAACUUUCUUAAACCUUUUCUAGUAUAUUCUUUUUUAUUCUACCAUCUAAUGGUUGAUAUGCAAUAAAAUUAAUCUUGUAUAUAUAAAUUACAAACAUGCUUAUAAUUAUAAACUUUAUUUGAUCAAUUGGAUUAAUAAGUAAUAAUAACACUAGUAUUAAGCAAACCAAGCGUUGCUACAUGCAAUGCGUAGAAAUUUAUUUUUAAUUUUUAAUAAAUUAUUUUUAUUUAUUAUUCAAUUGAUCAAAUAAAAGAUUAUAAUUAUAAACAUGUUCAUAAUUUAUAAACACAAAAUUAUUUUUAUUCCAUAUCAACAAUUAGAUGGUAGAAUAAAAAAGAAUAUACUAGAAAGUGUUUAAGAAAGUUUAUAAAUUAUAAAUACAAGAUUAAUCUAAAUGAAUAACAACCUUUACAUGGUAAAAUAUCUGAGAAUAUCUAAACAUAUUUUAGAUAUAUUCACUACCAUCUCAGUCCCCUUACAAGUUUGUUUGAGCAAACAAAUAAAUAAAUAAAUAAUUUAAAUGAAUAAUAACCAUUAAUUGGUAAAAUAUCCUAGAAUAUUCAAAUAUAUUUUAAAUAUAUAGAUGUUUACUUAAGCAUAUGCUAACUGGACUGCAAUGGCGAGGAAGAAAUCAAGAUCUUUGCCCUAAUUGCGAUUCCAUUCCAAAAUGGUAGAUCUUUUGAGAUAAUUGCCUGAAAAUUGUGAAUAGAAGCAGCAGAUUGGGAGCUUCCAAUCUAACCUUGGCACAAAGUAAGAGCAGCCUAAAGUGUCUUUGUUUAUUCCAGUCAAUAUGUUUCAUUACUUGCGGAGAAGUGGAACCAAUGCAAGUGGACGAGCCCGCAUGAGCGUGAACCCGACCCCCUCGCCCACGUCCACCUCUUUACCAUCUGGUGUUGUCCAGUUGAAUCUGUAGAGAAGAUUGGCAAGAACAAAAUGAACAGCAGUCAUCCCCAAGUUCAUCCCCGGGCAGGAUCGCCGGCCAAAGCCAAACGUCAUGAGUUCCACGGCCGCAUUGAAUUCGCUGCUCAUCCUCUCCGGGAUGAACUCCAGAGGAUUCUCCCAGAUGCUUGGAUCCCGGCCGAUGGCGUAGAGGUUGAUCAACACUUGGGUCUUGGCUGGGAUUGUGUAGCCAGCUUCUUCAAGCUUUCAUACAUGUCGAUAAGAAAUUAAGCGAUCUAGCGAGGAUCAAACCUUUUAAACUACUUACCUUACAGUCGGCAGUGGAUUCGCGUGGAACCAUGAGUGGCGCCGGAGGGUGCUGGCGCAGUGUCUCCUUGACAAUCGCGCCGAGGUACUUGAGCUUGGGAAUGUCGGCCUCGCUCACUAUGGCGCUACUAGCAGGGAUCACGUCGUCCAAUUCCUUCUGGGCUUUUGCCAAGAUUUGUGGAUGAAGAAGUAGCUCCGUGAGAGCCCAGUCUAUAGCUGUGGCAGUCGUGUGCAGCCCUGCACUCACAGCAUCCUAGCAAGAACGGCCAACGAGUUAGUCAACACUCAAGUCAACCCCCAGUCUUACCAGCAUGAGGCACCGGAUGGUAAGAUCUGACAUGUUGUCGAGCGAGAGCAAGACGUCCAGGAAGCUCUCGCCGCCAUGGCCUUGCUUGGCUAUGGAGGAUCGGUGCUCGUCAAUGUGUGCUUGAAGCAAGGCAUGGAAAUUAUCUGCUAAGGUCCUCAGCUUGGGCAGCGAGGGAUCCAUCCAUUUUAGCGAUGGGAUGUAAUCGCCGAUGUGUAGGCUCCCGCCCAGCUCGUUCCCCUGGCGGAUCAAGUGGAGGAAAUCUUUGGCAUCGAAGGUCCGGCUCGUCCCAAACACGAGCGUUUGCAUGAUCUCCAAGGUGAGGACGGUGAGCUCCUGCGUCAUGUUCACCGUUCUUCCCAGAUUCUGGGAGAGCAUCGCCAGGAACUUCUCCAUCUCCACUUGCCUCACUGCCGCAAAGCUCCCCACGCGGCGCGCGGUGAAGAGCUCGAGCGUGCAGAUCUUGCGGAGCUCCCUCCAUCUCGCGCCAUAGCGCGCGAAGACGAGAUCGUCUGGGAGGAUCGCCUCGGCAAACGUGAGCGAUGGCCGCGAGGAGAAGGUCCUGUCGUGGGACUUGAGGAUCUCUUGGGCGAUCUUGGCUGACGAGAUGACGAUCGUGGGGGUGUAGCCCAGGCGGAGGUAGAAGAUCGGGCCGAGCUUCUUGGCGAGAUCGAAGAGGAUGAGAUGCGGCCCGCGGGAAGUGCUGGCCAGGAGUGGAAUGUGGCCGAGGAUUGGAAAGGCCCGGGGGCUUGGAGGCAUGACAUGGGAGCUGCGUGAUUUAGAUCGAUCAUAGUAGAAGAUCACCAAGAAGAAAGAAGCCAAGAAGGCGAAAAAAACUGUGAUGUGCUCCAUGGAAGUUUGGAAAUGUAGCGUGUCCUUAUAAACACUUGAAAAGGUGGAAUGUUUCUAUGACGGAAACUUCUAUAAGCUGGAAGCGAGAAACAACCCUUCUACGUUUUGAAGUAAAAUUAAACACCCUUUUCUGGUUUUAUUUCGAUCUAAAAAAAUGCAAGGUUUCAAAAUUGAAGGCCCAUCUCGUGCGUCUGUGCCUUAUUCAAGUAUCAUGAGGCUUCACCCCAUCUUCCUGCUACUCCUCCUCGUCUUCAAUUCUUCGUGUAAAUCGUAAAUCGCAUCAUAUUCCUCCUAGAUUCUGGAAAGAUGCUUUUAAACCUUUUUGGACCGGAAUAACGUAAAGAGCUAGAGCUAUGCUAAAUUUUGAGGUCACUUUUAUUGAAAGUACAUGGUCAACACACCAGUUAAUUCAGGAACAUCAGUUGUUCAGCAUUAGAGACUGAUUUUGGUACGCAUGAUUUGAAUUUGUGCAUUCCAAUCCAGUACCUGAUGGGUCAGCUUUUGUAAACUUUGUAAUUUAAAGCUGUGAAAUAGAGGACGUCCAUUCCUAGUCAAAUUUUAUGACCUGAUAGACAAGGUUUUCCCUUUUGUUGUGAAAGACUUCUACCUUUAUAUGUUGUUGUUUUGGAUACGUUCAAUUGGGAGACCAAUGUACCUAUUGUACUAAUUUCGUUAAAAUCAAGUUCUAGCAAAGCCGAGUCUCAAUAAAGGAAGAAGAAAGAAAUGAAAGUUCCAUCUCUCAUCCAAUCCAACCUUCUUAACAUGGGAGUCCACGAUCACAGCUUGGCAUGGCUUGCGAGCGCAACGCACAAAGACCAUAGCCCAUUCCCUCGAAUCGUUACCGCCAUCACCGUCAGCCACAGCAGCCGCCUUGCCAAAGCUCCAGAAAGAUCUCCAUGAAUGAAUCCCCGAAACUCUUCGUCCAUCUCUCGCAAAGGAUUAGCUCUUCGUCCAUCUCUCGCAAAGGAUUAGCACUGCCGUUUUGAGCCUGGUCUUCACGAGUUUCUGUGAGUGAGGAGCACUCGUCUGCUUCCUGUACCCCUUGAUACCUUGAAUCCCUGGCACUGCCGUUGGACGCCCGGUCCGGCACGCCUGGCGAUUGUGCGUCUUCUGGACUGAUGGAAAGAACUUCAUCUCUGGAGUUGGCCUCUGAGAGCUGUUCCGGAGCUGCUGUAGCGUCGGAGAACUCGGUCACGGUUUCACUCAAUCGUGAGUUCUCUUCUUUGCUAGCCUGUGAAUCCCAUGAGUGAAGCAGUGCUUCGCCUGGACCAUCCGGAUGCUGGUCUUCCAUGUCAUCUGCUGCUUCUAAGCCAGCUGAUUUGCCUUCUCGUUGUUUGCCUGUGUUGUCUAUGAUCGAAGCAGGCUCCAAGUUCUCUCCCAUUUCUUCACUUUCUUCUUCUUCGGCGUCUAAGUUCGCCUUCCCACGAACUGGUUCAUCUGGUGCUGCGCUUUCAGUACUCGCCGGUUGGAUAUCAGCUUCUUCUGUGCUGGAACCUGGCUGCAAGCACGCAUCUUUCUUUAGCUCACCAGCCUUUGCUUCUUGUUCUUCCGAACUCUCUGUGCUUGAAGCUGAUUCCGAGAAGCUCUGGGCUCUCAAAAACUCCAGCAUUCCAGUGUUAUUCGGCUCCAGCUCCAUGACAAUCUCGGCAGCGCGACGAGCUCCUUCCACGUCUCCAUGAGUCUUACACGCGCCAAAAAACGCCGUCCACAUCGCAGCAUCGGCCUGGAACGGCAUGGUCUUGAUCAUCUCUUCUGCCUCACGCAGCCAUCCCGCACGGCCUAGGAGAUCCACCAUGCAACCAUAGUGCUGCAAAGUUGGCCUGACCCCGAAAUAGUCGUGCAUAGUCGCAAAGUUGUUGCAUCCUUCCUCCACCAGUCCAGCAUGAGCGCAAGCCGAUAGUACUCCCACAAGAGUGAUGUUGUUCGGCUUCUCCCCAAGCUGCUUCAUCCGGUAGAAAAGCUUGAGAGCCUCAUCCCAGAGGCCGUGCUGUGCACAAGCUGUGAUCAUCGCGUUCCACGUACUGGCCUCCCUCACGAGCAUCUUGUCAAACAUCCUCCCGGCUUCCACCAGUUCUCCACACCUUCCAUACAUGGUUACGAUCGAGUUCGCAACCACGGGAUCACUGUCAAACCCACUCUCCACGAUCAAAGCGUGAACUGCUCUGCCUUCCUCAAGAGUAGAAUAGCUGGCACAAGAGUUCAUCACUGUCGCAAAUGUCAUCUCAUUGGGCCUGAUGCCUUGUAGCUGCAUUGCUCUGAAGAGAUGGAGGGCUUCGCUGCGACCGUUUUGUGCGUAAGUUGCCAUCAUCGCAGUCCAAAAAACGACGCUGGUAUGUGAGCUCGAGAACUCGUCGAAGACAGCCUUGGCCUCUUCGACGCUACCGCAUUUCCCGUACAUGUUGAUCAGACUAGUUCCCACCGAAACAUCUUCGUAGAAACCACUGCGACGGACACAGCCGUGGAUGAACCUUCCUUCGUCCAGCACCAUCCCGCUAGCGCAAGCGUUGAUGAGAGCAACGCAAGCAAUGCAAUCGGGCUUGAGUCCUUCCACGAGCAUCCUUCUGAAGAGCUUCACGGCCUCUUUUCCCGUCCCAUCCUGUCCAUGACUCAUGAUCAUCGUCGUCCACGACACCACAUCCCGCUGCUUCAUAGCCUCAAAGACGGUGCUCGCAUCCUCAAGCGAUCCACACGCAAUGUACAUCUUGAGCAAAGCGUUGGCCACUGCUACGUCUGACUCUAGUCCCUGCUCGACUAUCCUUUUGUGGACGACCCUCCCAUCAGGCAGCUUCUCCCGGCUCGAGCAAGCUCCAAGAAGCGUUAAAAACGUCACCUUGUUUGGCAUCACCCCUUCCACUCUCAUCCGCUUGUACAGCUCAAGAGCAGCGUCGGACUGUCCCAGUCGCGCGUGAGCACCGAUCAUCUCCGUCCAAAGUAUGACAUCCCUGCGUUUCAUGCUGAAGAACAGUCUCUUGGCGUCGGCCAGUCCAGAGGCUCCCCUACACCUGAGAUACAUCCGGAUCAAACUAUACCGCACGUACAAGUCCUUGUCCAUGCCUCUUUUCUCGAUGUGUGCGUGGACUCUCCUCCCUUCUUCCAGUGCCUUGAGCUCGCCACAGGCACGCAAGAGCUGUCCGUAGCUAGUGGCGCUCACCGUCUCAGCGAGCUCUAACUUGCUGACUGCCUCGGAUAGCUUCCUCUUAUCAAAGCUCUCCGGAGAGGUCGAGCUCGUCGAAGCAGACACUACAGAGCAUCGGCUGCUCUUCUUGCGGAGUGUCAAAAACUCGUUUCUCAGAGGAGUGCUCGAGAUAUCCUUACAGCCCAGCUUCUUCCGAGACUGCCCUCUUGACGAAGAACUGCUGCCGGCAACGCUACAUUUCCCCCACGUACCUGCGUUGUCCACCGCCAUAGCCAUGAGCAUCCUCUAUCUACAAAACCCUACUAAGCUCCUCUAAAACCCCGAAGGCAACAGCAUAUGCCGUAACGGUCAACUGGUUGUCUUGGAGCCCAGUAAACAAAAUCACUGCACACAGCAUCAAACGUUACUGCCCAACGAAAGAUUUUUACACCGAAAGAUUAAGUUACCUGGAUUUCUUCAGUGUCAAAAUCAGUCUCGCUCCUACAUUAAGUAGAAUGGUUUAGUAUUUGGAGAACAAGGACAAAACGACGAUUUUAACUCACCUUAGAACACUUGUCUGAUAUUUAUGUUUAUCCGGGACUGUUGAAUGUAGUCCAGAAUUGCAACGUUUUCUUUGAUCUCGCCCAUUGCAAGAGCUGAGAAAUCUGGCAGGUCGGACUCUUUGCAACCUGUAAAUAUCCUUGGCACGCCUGCGUGUUAAGUCAUAACAUCGCGAUGGUUUAUCUCGAAACACCAAAGAGACUACAUACCAUGAAAGCAGCGUCUGGAAGGACCAGCCAUGAGGACACAGUCUCCACUCCGCAAGAACAUUGCCACGGGUGGAUCGUCACGAGUUUCGCCUCCAAGCAAGAAGAUUGCCUUACAACCCAGGCUAUUGAAGCUCAAAGUGUGAGAGUUUUACAAGAAAAAAGGAAUAGAGAGAGAGCACCUGAUGCUCACGAUUGGUUUGCUCCAGUCCGCUUCCAUAUCGUCUAUAUGACCUCCCAACAUAUCAUCUAGAUCGCACUAAGUCAAUAUCUCGGAUACGCAAAGAAAAGCAUACCUGGACCAAAGAAAUUAACAAUAGCAGCCUCGGCACGAAACUGGUCACCAUUCAUCGCUGGUGAUGCCAACUUAGUUGCCAGUUCUGAAAGCGCCGGUGGAAAACUUCGAUAUGGAAUGGAAAUAUCGUAAGCUCGCUGCAAGAGCAGAAAUAAAAAAGAAAGCUCGUAAGAAGCACGCAAAGAAGAUCCUGAAAAGCUCGACUCACUUUGGACCAGUCGAACUGGACUCCCAGAGUUGCCCACCGCAGCUUACGAAGAAGUGCUGUCGCCGAAACCACUCCUUCCUGUUUUCUCUCGUCUCCCGGAUCCGCAAACUCCCACUUCCUUACAAACAAAUCUCCGUUUUCCUCACGGCUACUUUCGAGCGUGCGAGGCCUGAUCGAAGAUUCAUGCUCGUCAUUCUUGUCCUCUCGGCAGGCACUGAGAGAUCCCGAGCACAGCUGAGCUGAUAUGUCCACAGGCCCGGUUGGAGAAAGCACUCUCUUUUUGGUGGCAGAAGACCACAAGCCAAACAAAGGACCAUAGUGAGCACUGUGACUUGUCCGAUUUGGAGGCUCGGGAAAAACCGUGAGUGCCUCGCGAAUCCAGUGGAACUGCUGGUCGUGCGGCACAGCUCGAGGAAUAAAGAAGAAUCCUAUAGAACAUAGAACAUAGAACAUAGAGAAAGAAGUAAUCCAUAAUCACGUACCUGUGUGGCCUUCCAGCGCAUAAACAGGAAAAUCCGAAUGAUCGAGUCGCGUAACACCAUCGCCAUCGCGAAUCCUCUCGAAGUCGAUGACCUGAGAGAGAUCCGUGACUGGGAUCUCCAUUCUGGAUCGACAACUCGUGAAAUCGAGCUGGAAUUUCUUCGCUAGUCUUACCUGCUGUGCUUGUGCGUCGUGGAUUGCUUGUAGAGCUUGUAUUUCUUCUCGGCGCGCCGGAACGCCGUGCGCCCGCCAUCGCCGGCUUGGGCAUCCAGGUAGCCCAUUUCUUAGGGCUUUUGCUCGAAAAAGAUUCGAGCGAAUAUGCUACAUAUGAAAACAUGGGGGCUUUCAUGCAAUUUCUUGUUCGAACAGGUUGUUUGCCUGAUUCAACUGUUGCUGGAGUAUUUGGAGCUCGCGAUUGAGGUGCAAGAUUUUCGCAUCUUUGUGCUCGAGCGCCGCGCGAAUUCGCUGAUCCAAAAGAUCCAUCUCUUUCACCUGGAAUCGCAAGCAAGCACUCUAAGCACGCAGCGAAUCAAUAUCCCGGAAGAACUACUCGAACCUUUUGAGCUUUGUACUCCUGGAACUCGGAACUUAGCUGGAGCUUCUCUUCUUUGAUCUUCGAUCCUUCCUUCUCCAUGGAUGACUCUGGAAAAUGUGAAAGCAUCAGUUUCUCUACUUGGUUUGCUGAAUCGUAGAAACUCACUCAAGGAUUCUAGCUCGCACUCGUGUGACUCGGUGACGCUUUGGAUUUUGAUGUUCCAUUGCUUCUCCUGGAAGAGUAAAGCUAUGAAGAAAACUGAUCAACGUUUUAAAAGCUUCAGUGAGACCUGUUCGCGGUACAUGCGACGAAACUCGUCCUUGGCCGAUCUCGAUUCCAGCUCCAAAAGCAUGAUCCGCUCCCUCAGCUGGGAGUUCUCGUCCAUUACUCGCUUGAGCUGUUCUUCGAUAACUUUCUUGGCCACGCUUUUCUGAAAAGAAGAUACAAGUUAUUCCCAAGAUUUUGUGAGCAAGAGAGAAGUUGAUUCACCUCAUCGUUGUUUCGUUCCAAGCGAGAAAUGGUGGAAUCGUAGCUGGCUAUAAGAUCACGCUCACGCUGGAGCUGCUCCACCUCGAGAUCUUUAUAUCUACUUCUUAGUUUCUCUUGCUCGUCCAAGAAAUCCUGCGAGAAAGCUAAGACACACAAAUUGAGAGCCGAAGAACACGAAGAACGGAAGGAAAAUACCUGCUCAGCAGCAGAUACACGCUCGCAGAAUUGACAUUCCAUCCUUCGUACGUUCUCUUUAAGAAGGUAAAAGUUGUCCUCUCCUUUCUUGAUCUUCUUCUCGCAUUUCGCCCUGAAAACCUCAAGGUGCUUGGAUCGCUCCAGCACCCGGCCCUGGAGCCUCAAAAACUCCUCCUGCCUCGCCUGCAUUGCAAGUGGAAAUCACGCCAAGCCACACACCAACAGAGAGGAGAGAAUGCUCUCACACCUCCUCGAGAAGAUCAAACUGGAGCUGCAGUAGCUGCAUCGAGGCGCUGGGAGGCGCGGCCGCCGGCAUUGGAAGAGCCAGGCGCGGCGAAGCUUUAGCUCUCACCUGGGAUUUCAGCUCCUGGAUGGAGCAUUUGAGCUCCUGGUAGCGCUGCGCGUCCACCAUUAAGACAGUUACCCUAAAAUUCCAACGGUUAUACUUUUAAAGGAAUUUGGUAAAAUUUGACGAAGUAAAUUACAUUUUUUAAAUGACUUUUUACAUUUUUAUUAAUAAAUAUUUGAUUACUUUACAAAUAUUUCUUGGUGAUUAAAAAAAAAUAUAAAAACAAAAUAUACUACCGAAAUUGACAUAUAUAUAAUUUUACAUGUCAAAAAAAAGAAAAAAACAUAACUCACUCCAUCGAUCUUCCUUGCUGGUUAGGAUCGUAUGCGUCGGCGGCGGGGUUGUGCCUUCCAUACGUGGGUUUUAUCAUCUCUACAUUGCGCUGCUCCACGCUUGGGCUGUACUCCGGGAGCUUUGGACUCAAGAGCGUGUCGUUGGGGAGAGUGAAAACGUUUGGAACCUUUUCGAUGUUUCUCAUGUAUCUGGCUGUUGAUCUUACGUGCCUGGCGCCACCCUCGUUUUCUAGCUCGAUUUCGGCAAUUGGCGGCGGUGGCGGGCUUUCACGGUGGUGGUGGUGGAAGGUCUCCUGACCGUCGUUUGAUCCCGCGUGUGAGCUUCCUUCUUUUGCUCGGUGUUUCGCAACUUUCUUCCAGUGGUGGAGGGAUUCCACGACGUUGUCUUGGAAGAUCGCCUUCUUGUAGUUAGAUCCCAUCUGGAAAACCGUAGAAAAGAUUGAGGUUUUGUUUCUCUUCGUCUCCGUAAAGAGAGAGUACCUGAGUGACAAGAGCGUAGAGUGGCAAGGUGCUGUAGCUACAAAGAACUUGGACCAAGAAUCUAGCAAAGUUACCGAGUAUGAAAACAAAGUUCGUGAAACAACUCUAGAAACUUUACCCCGUGAUGACACGAAUGUAAGCAAAUGAUUUCUUGCUCAUAAAGCAUGAAUCCCAUCCGAAUUGCCACUGGAAUCACUCACACCCCGAGCGUUGAACAAUGUCUUGAGAAAAAAACAGGACUUACCCAGAUCCAGAAGAAAGUUGCGAGCUCGAAAGCAUCUUGGAAGAGGAUGAAGUGGAUCAAAUGCAUCAUCAACUGUGGCCUUCUAAACCAAAAGAGUGAAUCGCGCGGUCUCAGAUGAACACCAUCCAAAGGUCCCGAGAGUCCCGAGUUUUCGAGAGCGAGCUGGGCGAUAAUUCGCUGGAGUUUAGCUCCGACAAUCAACACCAUCUGGAUCAAGGAAAAAAAAAAUCAGUCUUUUAAGAUUUACUGGAGCUUCCAUCCAUGGAGAGGAUCUUACCACUAUCGGAAGAAACGACAUCCAAAAGUAUAAGUUGGAUCCAUCGACGUUGAAGAGCAUGAAGAGAACAACGAAGACCCAGAACAAAGGACUGCAUCGUUCAUCAUGUAAACAACUUCAGUUUACGAUCAAAAAGUGUCAAAUGCUUACCUUAUUCCCACGAUUUCCUUGAACUCGUCCUCCAUCGAUCGAAUCAUGUAGCUGUGAAAAUCAUAUUUUGGUCCCGUGGAGUGUUUCUGCGAGGCAAGUCAGUGUGAUUUAGUUUGAAGAUCUUCCAAGAGUUUUACUAGGCUCGUUCAACUUACAGUGACGAAUCCCAGCCUCAGCGCGAGGUAAUCCGGGCGAGUAACAGACUGCCCGAACUGGCGGAAGAAACAAAUCUGCGCAGUCACGCGAAUAACUUAGAUCCUGACGAAGUUUUGGAAACUAGCUACGAAGGAUAUAAUAUGCUCACCACCCAGAUGAUGACGGGAUUGCGACUACCAGGUGUUGAUGCGUGGUGUUGGACGAAAGUCGAUUGCCUUUUCAUUGUCAAGUUCCUGCAAAAUUCUGGGUGGCAAAAACAGAAGGAGAAGUUUGUAAGCCUUUGUGAUCACUCUCGGUCGGUCAAAACAAGAAUUACCUGCCAUGUUUUGCUGGUUGUCGACAUGACUAUGGGCUUCGUCUUCCCAGCGCCUCCAGCUAUAAACCUGCUCGCGAGAAUUCAAAGAGAUUUAGAAGUUUCUGAUGAGAUCAUGCAAUUUCUCUGUCAAAGCGUUUUGGAACACCAACCUUGACAACUGCGAGAAGCAUGGUGAGACACGAGUAGAAGACGUGUGUGCAUCCCAUCACGAAGAGAAAACGGUGCAGCUGCUCGAGGCCAAGAAAAGAGAUGAAUGGCUCUUUUCCCUGUAGCAAGGAAGAACUAAGCACAAAAACCAACAAGAAAAAAAUGUUCUUGGGAUCGUACCUCUGCGCAGGAGUUCCCUGCGCCAGCCAAUGAUCGUCGUGGCAACCCGACUUGAUCCAUAAAGUACUCGGACAAUUUCCUGUUGAUAAGAAAGUGCUCGGGUUCAGUGGUUCCUGCAGCUUCUGCUGCGCUGCAAGGCAUGAGAUGCCCAUCGAAGAAGGUCGUCCUGACACAGACUUUGCUGAUCGAUUCCGCCGUGACAGUGAUGAGCAGAGAUAUGAAUCCCAGCAGCAUAAGCUCUGGCACAAAUCCAAGUUUUUAGUGUCUCUUCAGAGGGAAAAAUCCUUCUUUUACCUUCUUUCAUCUUCUCUAGAGCCUCGUAAAGAGGCUUUCUCUUUGUCUUUGACAGCCACUAUGAAACGAACACAAAAGUAAAUAAAUCGGGGCUAGAGCUUAUCCUGAAAGAGCAGAGAGAGAGACUUACAUGGCCAAGGUAGUGAAGAGUUCUCUCGCCAAUUAGCGAGACAACCACAAACAUCGUGCAAAUGACCGCCACAGCCCAUGUCGGAGUUUGCUCUAGUGUUCUUCCCGCUGGAGCACCGCCUGCCAUAUCUCUAGAUCGAUUUCUAGCUAUCCAACCAUACAAUUAGGAGUGUAGUCCCGGCAAAGCUCAACGUUGCUUCCCGACACUCGUGUUCUUCGCUUGUUCUUCUUCACAAUCCCAAUUUCUAAAGUUGAAACUACUUAUAUCGAGGCCCCUUCGUCGGCGAAUCCAUGGACUCUGCUCAAGCGUGAUGCGCGUAUGAUGGGGUCAGUAUUUCCCCCGAAAGAACGCGUAAGAAGACCAAACCUUUUUGCAAAGACUCUAGCAAACCUCUACCGCUUUGCUGUGAUCGCAGACAAAAGGAAAAGAGUGAAGCGCAUUGAAUGCACAAGAACUCUCUCUCACUGGUGUUAAGGCUUUGACGUAAAAAUCGUAAAAAAUGAUUUUUAGUCCAGUCCAGUAAGGGAGCUUCACUGCAAAUGGGAGGAAAAGUUCCUCGCGAUCUGGCUUUCUUCGUUUUUAAUCUGUGGUCAGCGAAGAAAAGCGUGCCUUCCUCGCAGUCAAUAGUUCUCUUUCUAUGUGAUCGACGAUGAUGUUCUAUCGAUCUUCAAUUAGUUUCAAUUAACUUAGCCGAAAAAAAAAGUCCCAAAAAAAAUUAAAACUUGGAGUUCUUUGGUUGCUUGUCAACUGUUAUGAGAUGCCAGUCACGGGAAAAAAACAGAGCAGCCAUCGUGGAGAAUUUCAUCUCCAUAUCCGUGGAAAUAAAAUUGUGUCUGAAUCCAUCCAUCGUUUUCUUACAGAAAUCCGCUUUACCGAAACGUCAUCCCCCUUUUUUCUUUACUGGCGUUAAGUUCUAAUUUGAUGCUUCUUUGCAAACCCUAGGCCGCGCGUGGAGCGAGGAGGACGCCGAUCUGGGGGCGCCAUCGCGGCAUCGCGCUGGGCAGCGCAUUUUUCUUCCAGGUAUGUCGCGGCGGAUUUCCGGCGGGGGGAUCUGUAGCGCUAGAGAUCUCUCCCCGGAGCUACAUUGGUGUGGAAAUCAAGCAGGAGGGAUUUCGUAGCUAGGAGCUGAGACGAUCCUUCCUCUGGGAGAGAGCUGGGGGUUUUGGGGGAUUUGAUGGUCGCUGUAGGUGGAGAUGAGUUGAGGAGGAUGGCACAGAAGAGGUUGCGAGCUUGGUGCCACAGCUCCGUGUUUAUAAUUUUUUGGCCGCGAGGGAGACCGCAAAAGGGCUUCCAGGAAAGAUGUUUUUUGGGAGGAACAGUUUCUUAUCGUCCCAGGAGGAACAGCCACGAACAGAGAAUGGAGAGCGAAUUGGUCACGGGCCCUCUCGAUCAAGCACAGGGAGCCGGUCGGAUGGAUCGGCACAUCUAGACGUGUCCGACCCUUCGUUCGAAUCUUUCAGGGAGUUAGUUUCUGGAAGCGCUCUCCAGAGCGAAGUUUUCGGAGCUCCAGGAUCCAUGCAGAGUGAGAAUGCUCCGGCCACAGCUCGCUCUCGGCUUUUCUCGGUGAUUUCUUCCAAAGGACUACAAGCUCACGAUCGCCAUCCUUCUUCUUCCUCGGGUGCUGGUGGUCCUCCUCCAGCAGCUCGCACUGAUGCAAGGAAGGAAAGAGUAGUAUACGUCGACAAUCCUGGCAGGACUAAUGAAAACUUCGAGUUCUCCGGGAACAAGGUCCGCACCAGCAAAUAUACGCUUAUCUCGUUCCUUCCCAGGAAUCUGUUUGAGCAGUUUCAUCGGGUUGCCUACAUCUACUUUCUCCUGAUAGUGAUACUCAACCAGAUUCCUCAGCUCGCGGUUUUUGGGAGGUUGGCUUCGCUGUUUCCUCUCCUCUUCGUGCUGGUUGUGACGGCUAUCAAGGACGGUUACGAGGACUGGGGUCGUCACAGGUCGGACAGGGAAGAAAACAACAGGCUGUCUUGGGUGUUCCAGAAUGGCCGGUUUGAGCCAAAGAGGUGGAAGAAAAUUGAAGCCGGGGAAGUAGUGAAGAUUUUCCAGGACGAGUCCAUUCCGUGUGAUAUAGUUUUACUGGGAACGAGCGAUGCAAACGGAGUAGCUUACGUCCAGACCAUCAAUUUAGACGGAGAGACGAACUUAAAGACGAGAUAUGCGCGGCAGGAGAGUGCAAGCAAGCAUCCGGGCCUGGCUCCCAUCACCGGCAAAGUCGUCUGCGAGCCUCCAAACAGGAAUAUCUACGACUUUGUGGCGUACUUGGAGAUCGAUGACACUCAAGCUCCGCUCGGGCCAAACAACAUCAUACUCCGCGGGUGUGUGCUCAAAAACACCGCAUGGAUCGUGGGAGUUGUGGUUUAUGCGGGAAAGGAGACGAAGGCAAUGCUCAACAGCUCUGGUGCGCAGUCCAAACGAAGCAGGCUGGAGCAGCAUAUGAACAAGGAAACACUGUGGCUCUCGUUUUUCUUGCUGAUCAUCUGUAUUGCCGGCGGUGUUGGGAUGGGAAAAUGGGUUCACGAUCACGACAGCGAUCUAAACAACUUUCCUUACUACAAGAAGCGUGACACAGCGGACAAGAAGUUCAUGUAUUAUGGACCUUUAGGAGAGGGGGUGUUUGCUUUUCUCAGCUUCAUCAUCAUGUUCCAGAUCAUGAUCCCGAUUUCCUUGUACAUCUCCAUGGAGCUUGUUCGUCUCGGCCAGAGUUACUUCAUGGUGAGAGACGUUGAGAUGUUUCACGCGCCGUCAAACUCGAGACUCCAGUGCCGAGCUCUAAACAUCAACGAAGACUUGGGACAGGUGAAAUACAUAUUCUCAGAUAAAACUGGCACACUAACCGAGAAUAAGAUGGAAUUCCACUCAGCCAGCAUUGGAGGGGUUGAUUAUAGCAACGUUCUUGCAGCUAAAAUUUCUGGUACUUCUGAUUCCUCGGAUGGCAUGCAAGUCGAAGGUAACUCUUUUUUCUGUUUAAGGUAUUUGUUUCAUGUUUAUGAUCGUUUCUAUGUUUGUGUUGUAGGUAGCCAUCUCAAGCCUGGCGUUCGUCUUGACCCCAACUUAUUAGAACUUCUUCAAACGGAGGUCACGUCCUCGGAAGCAACUUUUGUUCACCGUUACAUGCUGGUGCUUGCGGCCUGCAAUACAGUGGUUCCGACUCGCCACAGUGGACCGCUGCAAUAUCAGGCUGAAUCUCCAGACGAGCAGGCUUUAGUUUUUGCGGCGUCUGCUUACGGCUAUACACUUUUAGACCGAACUACUUCAACGAUAGUACUGGAUGUUCUUGGAGAGCAGAAAAGGUGACAAGUCUUCGUGCUGAAAUGUUUGCUCUAACACUCAGUUACGUGGAACCAUUUGCUGCAGCUACAAAAUUGUAGGAAUUCACGAGUUCGACAGUGUACGCAAGCGCAUGUCGAUCGUUGUGGAGUGCCCCGAUAACACGUACAAGCUGCUAGUGAAAGGAGCGGACACAGCAGUGAUGGAUAUCAUUGCCAGGCCAUCCGAGCAAGUAGAGUCAGGCUCAGGUUCCCUUGCAGACGGUCAUUUGCAAGCAGGGGUGCUGUUUGCAACACAGAGGCACUUGGACUUCUAUUCUACGCAAGGAUUGCGCACUUUGGUCGUUGCUUUCAAGGAUUUGGAGCAGCCCGAGUUUGAAGAGUGGCACGAAAAGUACAAGAUAGCUAGCACGGCACUGGUGGACAGGGUGAAGUUGCUCCGAGAGGCGGCUAGUUUAAUAGAAAGAAAUCUGGCCUUGCUGGGAGCUACUGCAAUUGAGGACAGGUUGCAAGAUGGAGUACCCGAAACAAUCUCGUCCCUGCGAAAUUCGGGCAUCAAAGUUUGGGUCUUGACAGGAGACAAGCAGGAGACUGCGAUUUCUAUUGGCUUUUCUUGCGCUCUUCUCACUCCGGACAUGGAAAAAGUAAUUGUCAACGCUAACACGAAAGAGCUCUGCGUCGAGAAACUCAAAGCCGCUAUCAGAGAGCAUGGGAUUGCUGAGACCAAGGACGUGCACAUUGGAGAGAAGAACUUGAAGGCUGUUAAAGGUGAUUCUACCCGCAAGAAACAACUGGCUCUUAUUAUCGAUGGGAACAGUCUCGUGCACGCUCUUUCGCCGGACGUAGAAGAACUCGUAAGUGAUAUUCUCUUUUUUAAGUUUCUUUUACCUUAAACAUUUUCUCGGUGUGUUUUCUCGCAGCUCUUUGACUUAGCCGUAGCAUGCAGAAUCGUUAUUUGCUGUCGCGUCGCGCCGCUGCAAAAAGCCGGGAUUGUCUCGUUGAUGAAACGAAGAACAAAGGACAUGACUCUCGCUAUUGGAGAUGGUGAGUGAUUUUUUUUCUUUUUGACUUUUGUGGCCUAGAAGUGGUUUUCAUUUCCCGAAGUUGUGCUCAGGAGCCAAUGAUGUCUCCAUGAUACAGACAGCAGAUGUUGGAAUUGGAUUGAGUGGCCAGGAAGGUCGGCAAGCAGUCAUGGCAUCUGACUUUGCAUUGGGCCAGUUUCGAUUCUUGAAACGGCUUCUCCUCGUCCACGGUCACUGGAACUACCAGCGUCUCGCGUAUAUGGUGCUCUACAACUUUUACAGGAAUGCCGUGUUCGUGAUGAUGCUCUUCUGGUAAGCUCACUCUCGUUUUUCUUCUCACUUUUCUUCCUUUAUCGUUGACAUCUGCCUAUAGGUACAUUUUGCACACAGCCUUCUCCGCACAGACAGCGCUUUUCGACUGGAACUUGAUGUUCUACUCGCUGAUAUACACCUCCGUGCCAACGAUCGUCGUCGGGAUUCUAGACAAGGACUUGAGUCACAAAACUCUACUCGGACUUCCUCCACUCUACGGUGUCGGACAGAGAAACGAGAGCUACAACUCGGUGCUCUUCUGGGCGACGAUGCUGGACACGCUGUGGCAGAGCUUGGUUCUCUUCUACGUACCGUUUUUUACGUUCCAGGGAACGACCAUCGAUAUCUGGGGGAUGGGCUGCUUAUGGGCCGCAGCAGUGGUGGUGUUGGUCAACUUACACCUCGCUAUGGACGUCCUACACUGGACUUGGAUCACUCACGCGGCGAUCUGGGGAUCCAUCGUCGUCUCCUUUGCGUGUUUCUUCGUGCUGGACGCCUUGACAGACAAAGGAUUCAUCGCACACUACAGGUACUCACUCACUCUUUAGUUUUCCUUGUUUUGAUCUCUAGUGGUGUUCUUCUCUCGCAGAGUUAUGUUUCAUAUGGCAUCGACUGCGGUGUUUUGGCUAAACAUCUUACUCGUAAUCGUCGUCGCGUUGCUUCCCCGAUUCUGUGCAAAGGUACUGAUGCAAAAGUUUUGGCCGUCUGACCUUCACAUUGCUAGGGAGCUCGAGCUAAAAAAUCGAGCCGCCAUUUCGGAGUUUGUGAAAUCGUCCGCCCCUUCUCCCAGAAUGGUGGAGCUCGACGAUGUUCCUUACUCUGACAAAGAGAGUAAAGAAGACGAAUAGAAAGGCAACUUUGCAUAAAAAUUCUUAGAUCUGGACCGUCGGCUCAAAACGAAUUUGGACCGUCGGUUUCCUGGCAUAUUCGUCAGGAUUUUUGGGAUGAGCCCUAAACCCUGGCGCGCGGAAUGGUCCAGUGUUUGUAUUCCUCUUCCGCCGCUGCCGCCCCCAAUCUCUGCUUCUCUUUGCGAUGCUCGCGUUGGAUCUUCAGCAGAAGCGCCAAAUCGGCCGCGGCGAGGAGGAAUUCCGCCGCAUUCACCAGUGUAAGAGCAGAGAAGGAGAACGAUCGCGAUGGGAGGACGUUUGUGGUGACGACGCCGCUGUAUUACGUGAAUGCGGCGCCACAUAUGGGCAGCGCCUAUCCCACCAUCGCCGCGGACGCAUUCGCGAGGUUCCAGGUAUGGAUUUUGCGGCAUAUGCCCAGGCUGGGUAUAACUUUUGGGUGGUUUUAGAGGCUCCAAGGAAGGAAUGUCGUGUUUGUGACCGGCACGGACGAGCACGGCGAGAAGAUUGCCACUGCUGCCGCUGCGAAAGGCCGGAAACCAAAGGAACAUUGCGAUUUGAUUGCUAACGAGUACGCAAGUCUUUGGAAGGAUGUAAAUUUUCUAACUUGCAUCCUUGCAUCCAUUUAGCUUUCUUUUCUUCGACUCGCUUAACUCCUUUUCUCUGCGUUUCAGCUCAAUAUAUCUUACGACAAGUUCAUUCGUACCACAGACGAAGCCCACGAGCGCGCGGUGGAACAGUUUUACAAAAGAGUUUAUGACAAAGAGGAUAUCUACUGUGCCAACUAUGAGGGACUAUACUGUGUAAAUUGCGAGGAGUAUAAGGUACAAAGUUCUGAUAGCUAUUCUGCCUUUGAGAACAGCUGCGAUGGAAUUGCAGGAUGCCAAGGAUUUGAUCGAAGAACACUGCUGUCCUAUCCACAGAAAGCCUUGCGUAGAGCGCAAGGAGAAAAAUUACUUCUUUGCUCUAUCGAAGUAUCAGUCACGACUGGAGGAGCUCUUGUCUACCAGGCCUGCCUUUGUGAGGCCUCCAUUUCGGAUGAAUGAGGUACUUGGAGGAACAAUUAGUGGCUUCUUGGAAAUCUUACACCCCACUGUUUAGUUCUACAGGUGUUGGGAUGGGUGAAGGAAGGUCUUCACGACUUUUCUAUCUCCAGGGAAGCCGUAGAAUGGGGAAUCCCUGUACCGACGGACAAGAAGCAGACCAUUUACGUGUGGUUCGAUGCACUACUCGGGUAUUUCGCAUGUUUUCUACGUGUAGAUAUGGUGAACAUUGAUUGUGCGCGCAGGUAUAUUUCAGCUCUACUCGAUGGAAAAGAAGUGACACCUGAAAAUGCAGCCGCUUCUGGCUGGCCAGCUUCAGUUCAUAUCAUUGGAAAGGUUCGUUCGAGUAGCCGGUUUAUUUCUCCUAAAGUUUUUUCUUUUUCUUCCAACUUUGACAGGACAUAUUACGCUUUCAUGCCGUUUAUUGGCCUGCAAUGCUUUGGUCAGCGGGGUUUGCAAUACCAGAAACAGUGUUCGGCCAUGGAUUUCUCACAAAGGUAUCCAUGGGUUCUUUUUUUUUUUUUUGUUGACUCGUUAUUGUGCUUUCCAGGAUGGCUUGAAGAUGGGAAAGUCUCUAGGCAACACAAUCGAGCCACAGGAGCUGGUCUCGAGAUUUGGAGUUGAUUCUGUGAGAUACUUCUUUCUGAACGAGAUGGAAUUUGGCAGAGACGGCGAUUAUUCAGAGGAGCGGUUUAUAACCAUCGUGAAUGCACAUCUAGCCAACACAAUCGGUAUAUAUUUUCACAAAGUCUUCUCUGACCCACACAUCCAUCGUUGUGCAGGAAAUCUUCUCAACAGAACGCUUGGUCUUUUGAAAAAGAACUGUGCGUCAACAAUAUCAGUCGACUCGGAGUCCAUCCCGGAAGAAAAUCCCGUGCGGGUAUUUGCUGAGGCAGCUGUAAGCUUACAGAUUCUUGCUGCGCAUAGUCAUGAGCAAUUUUUGUUUCUGAUCAACAGGUUGCACGCGCGAAGAGACGCUACUCUGAGCUUCAUUUCUCGUCGGCCUGUGAGGCUCUACUAUCCUUAGCGAACACGGGAAACGCUUACUUGGAAGAGCGCGCUCCAUGGACGGGCUUCAAACAAAAAGCAACUCCAGCAGCGGAGGCAGCGGCAAAGGUUCGUGCUAAAAACAUCUAUCAAACAUCGUUGCUCACCACAUAGCUUUCCCAGGACUUGGCCGUGAUCUUGGAGUCCGUGAGAAUUCUCUCGGUGGCACUCUCGCCAGUGGUACCAGAUCUUUGCAAAAGAAUGUGGCUACAGCUCGGUUAUCAAGACGAGCAUUUCAACCAAAUCUCUUGGGUAUGUCGCUACUAGAAUUUUUUGCUUCCAAAACUUAUGGAUUUUUCUUCUUUUACUCCCAGGACGAUACAAGAUGGGGUGGUCUCAAAGCUGGCCAGCUCGUCGCUACUCCAUCGCCAGUAUUCCCAAAGAUCGAAGCCGAAGUGGCCGAUAGUAGCCUCGCAAAGGCUGCCGUCUAGAUUGUAAGCUGAAUAUCCUCUCGAGCAGAAUAUUCUCUUGCGGCUCUUAAGCAGAAUAUCCGCCUUUAUAUCCGUUUAUUAUCUGCGGCGCAGGUUAGGGUUUUUGUGUUCUUCCCAGGGUCUUCGCGAUGAACGACUACAAUGUCGCCGGCAUGCCCGCGCGCCCCAAGGCUGCGCAGAACCGGGCCACUGUCCAGCAGCUCAAACUGGUAAGUCUCGUCUCGCCUCUUCUCUUUGAUCGGCUUCUCAGCCCUUUUCUUUCAGAUCGGCCAGAGCCAUCCCACCGGAUUGACUGCGAAUCUUUUGAAGCUCUUCGAGCCGCGGCCUCCUCUCGAGUACAAGCCGCCGCCGGAGAAGCGGAAUCUUCCACCGUAUCAUGGUAAGAAAGGAUUGCUCGUGGGACUGGUUUCUUAAGCUCUACCAGGUAUUUCACAAUUUGUCCAACACUUUGCGGAGCCGGGUGAUCCGGAGUACAGUCCUCCAAUUGUGAAAGCUGAAACUCCGGUAUGACAAUCGGAGUCUCUUUUUUCCUUGUUUCUAAACUUGUGAUUUUCAGUCUCAAAGACGAGCAAGGAUCCAUAGCGUUCGUCUGGAGAAGGGGGCGGAGAAGGCAACUGAGGAUCUGGAAAAAUGUGAGUCGUCAUGGAUUCUCAUCUUUCGAUGCUCAUUUUGUUUCUUUCAGAUGACCCUCAAACCGAUUCCAACAUUGAGGGCGAUCCAUACAAAACACUAUUUGUCGCGAGGAUUGUAAGUUUCUUUUCUCCUCUAUGUCCUGGCAAGGCUUCAUCUUGUCCUUUGUUCUUUUUUUUUUCUUUCCAUAGAGUUACGAGACAACGGAACACAAAAUUAAAAGGGAGUUUGAGGCAUAUGGUCCAAUAAAAAGGGUAGGUAUCCAACUGUGGUGGUCAAGGAGCUUACAACUCCUCGACUGUGGUAAGAUAUCCUGUUGUGAGUUCACUCUUAUCCUUACCAUUUUCCCGUUUAUUUUUCUCAUCACAUUUUAGCUGCAUCGAAAGCACAUACUUGUCUAAGCUGCAGAUAUGUUUCCAUGGCUUUCUUCUACUCCACUGCAUGAGUUUUGUUUCUGAAGACUGAGAAGUAAGUGUGUUCAUCAGGUAUAAGCCCUUUUCUUCUUUUUUCUUUUACUUCAUCGGAUUGACAAAUAUCCAAGACUUGGAGCGCAUGUUUGUUUGUUUGCAGAUUAGCAACACACCGAAAUUAUCUGGCUAGAACAAGAGUCUAGACAGGCAAUCUCAAACCUUUUCCUAGUUUAGAGUCAGCCAUGCUAGUUUGCUUUCGCCCCUGGUAAGAGGGUUUUACUGGUAAGCCAACAAAGUUUGAAACUCGUUACUCUCGACGCGUAUCUUAUGUCUUUGAAGCUGGGCACGGCGAGUGAGGCUUAAUGCCUUCAUGUCUGCCGUGUGGAAUAGCGUGCAUUUUAAUAGUCCGCUUGGUUUGUGCUCUUCAGAGCGCGAGAAUCGUCUUACUUAAUGCUCUUUUCGUUCUCCAGGUUCGCCUUGUCCAUGACAAGGACAGUAAUAAGCCUCGCGGGUAUGCUUUCAUCGAGUACUUCCAUACACGCGACAUGAAAGGUACGUGGUUUCCUUUUGCAAGCUUUGCUGAUAUGAAUUUGUUUGUUCUGCUUGUAGCUGCUUACAAACAAGCCGAUGGACGGAAAAUUGAUAACCGGAGAGUUUUAGUUGAUGUCGAGCGUGGUCGGACGGUGCCGAACUGGAGACCCCGGAGGCUUGGCGGUGGUCUGGGGUCUACUCGUGUCGGUGGCGACGAAGUGAAUCAAAAGUACUCCGGCCGGUAUGCUCCUAUCUCUUUCGUUUGUGCUCUUGAAAAUCCUUUUUUUUUUCCUCAGAGAACCACAAGUAGGGGGCGCUAGAACUGAGGAGAAGCCCAGGGACGAGAGAAGCCCGGACGAAAGGUUUGUGUUUCCUUUGUGUAUAGUUUUGAGCUGUCUAAAAGUUUUUUCAUUUUGCAGAGACCGAGAAAGAGAUCGCGAUCGAGAGAGAGACCGUGAUAGAGAUCACAAAGAUCGAGACAGGCCGAGAGACCGGGAGAGGCACCGAGAGAGGGACCGAGACCGGGAUAGGGAGCCCCGUGGAGAUAGAGAAAGAAGCCGUGGAAGAGAGAGGGACCGAGAAAGAGGAGGCCGCCGAGAUCAUCACGAACGAGGGGAGCGCGAGAGAGACCGAGAGCGUGAUAGAGAUCGAGAGCGCGAUAGAGGCUACGAG